ACGCCUACAGUGCGCUCCCCCUCACUCCUUUUCCUCGGAGUGCCCGGCCCCGGCCCCCUUCUGCCCCUUUCCCCGGCAGGGUGAUACUUUGUCAAGCCGUAAUCCAACCCUGCUAAACCCGCGGGUAGAGCUGAAGCGCUGCGAUGAAUCUCAGCAGACUCAUUCCUCUCCUCGAGAGCUUGCUGCCCUUAGAAAUGACUUCAGCGCACUUUUGCAAGUGUAAAGGGAAAUCAAGAUCCCCUCUUCAUGUCUCUUGAUCUUCACCAGACUAGAAGAACCUGUAGUUCUUAGAGCUGCAGUGGAAAGUGACCUGUUGUGUUUGUGGAAGCUCUGGAAUCCUGCAGGAGAAGGAUCACUCAGCACCGUGGCAAUCUGCCAAGUACAACUUGUUCUGAAACACAGUGGCUCUGAGAAGUUGCAUUAUCAACUGAAACACAAUGUCAGCUUAGCAGGAGCAGGUUGCCCUCCAACUGUCUUCAAAUACAGGAAAUAUUUGUGAAGUGAGAGGUAUGUGAGGCAAUGUUUUGGGGUGGUAAUGUUGAUCUUGUAUAUUACUUAGGGGAUUCUUUAUUUCAGUCGUGAUUAGUCUAAUGCAGUUUGUUAGGUGAUUCCAAGCGUUCUCUUUGGGCUUUGGCUUCACUUUGUCCAUGCAGAGGACCACAGAAAUAGACUUCCGCGUGAAAAUGAACCUGUUUAGUGAAGAUUUCUGUUCUAUAGAGAGAACAAAUGGAACUAAAGAAGCGUGAAGACUUUGUAUAGAAUUAAUAUGCUCCACUGAUUUAGUUUGUUGAUUUCAUUAAGCUAAGGUGCACGAAAGAUGUAUGAAAGACGUAUAAAUCAAGCUUAUGGAAUAUAAGUCAACAUGCUAUUAGGACAAGAGAAGCAGGUUGCAAAGUCCAG
rnacentral:lncRNA from 1 species